GGGCCCGUGGUGUAAACGGUUAGCAUGCUACCAUUGACAAGUAGAGGAACGGGUUCAACUCCCGUCGGGUCCACCA
rnacentral:tRNA from 1 species